rnacentral:rRNA from 1 species
UACGUAGGUGGCAAGCGUUGUCCGGAAUUAUUGGGCGUAAAGCGUGCGCAGGCGGUGAUGUAAGACAGAUGUGAAAUCCCCGGGCUCAACUGGGGAGGGUCAUUCGAUACUGAUCGACUCGAAGGCAGGAGAGGGUAGUGGAAUUCCCGGUGUAGUGGUGAAAUGCGUAGAUAUCGGGAGGAACACCAGUGGCGAAGGCGGGUCUCUGGGCAAUUCCUGACGCUGAGGCGCGAAAGCGUGGGGAGCAAACGGGG